rnacentral:lncRNA from 1 species
CAGCUCUCCUUCUCUUGUCCUAAGCCUGCAUUCCACCAUGUGCCUGCAGAGGAUUAUGCAGCAGCUGCUGCCAGUCAAGCCUUGGACCUGAGUAUUUGAAAAUAAGGAAAUAAAAAAGACAGUAAAUAAACUGCUGCACUCCAGGCUGUUCCCCGAGUUAUGUGAUACGUGAGAGUGCCAUAUAGGAAGAGGAACAGCACUUCUGAAUUCAUUUUAGUGGUUAAAAACUGGGACUAUGUCU